UCGUGGGCGACUGCGAAUCUGAAGGAAGCUGGCGGCAAAUAUGGGAACCUACGAACAGAAACCGUAUAUAAGGCAGCCAUGAUGUGGGUGAUGUUGCUAAACAAACAAAAGCCCAAUACUGCACGGACAUCAGGAUGUAAAUACGGAGGUUACAUCCAUAGAAAGCAGAUCGU
rnacentral:ncRNA from 1 species